AUCUUUGCGCUUGGGGCAAUGACGCAGUUGGUGAGAUGAAACCGAGACGCGUCAAUUGCUGGUUGAAACUUUCCAAACAUCUAUAUUUAGAAUGUCUAAUCUACAAAGAUCCGGUGAUGAUGGAUAUUUCACAUGAAA
rnacentral:snRNA from 1 species